rnacentral:rRNA from 1 species
GAGAUGUUGGGUUAAGUCCCGCAACGAGCGCAACCCUCAUCCUUAGUUGCCAUCACGUUUGGGUGGGCACUCUAGGGAAACUGCCGGUGCUAAGCCGGAGGAAGGCGGGGAUGACGUCAAGUCCUCAUGGCCCUUACGGGUUGGGCUACACACGUGCUACAAUGGCAUAUACAGAGGGAUGCGAGACAGUGAUGUGGAGCGGACCCCUUAAAGUAUGUCGUAGUCCGGAUUGGAGUCUGCAACUCGACUCCAUGAAGUCGGA